GCUGGGCAUGGUGGCGCGUGCCUGUAAUCCCAGCUACUCAGGAGGCUGAAGCAGGAGAAUUGCCUGAACCCAGGAGGCAGAGGUUGUGGUGAGCCGAGAUCGUGCCAUUGCACUCCAGCCUGGGUAACAAGAGCGAAACUCCGUCUCAAAAAAAAAAAAAGACAGAGAAAUUUAAAGGUUCCUCUUUUUUUUUUUUUUUUUUUUUUUUUUACAUGGAGUCUUGCUCCCAUUGUGCAGGCUGGAGUGCAGUGGAGCGAUCUCGGCUCACCACAACCUCUGCCUCCUGGGUUCGGGCAAUUCUCCUGCUUCAG
rnacentral:SRP_RNA from 1 species